GCUGCACUUGGAUUUCGUUCCU
rnacentral:miRNA from 1 species